UUAAAAAAAAACUAUUUCAGACCUAAUCUUUGAUUCUCUCUGAAUUGUCACCCUUCCAUGCAGCUGGAGGCUCGCGUGUUGCUGUUACUUUUCACCCUGAGCUGUCUGCUCACUGCUGUGGGGGCUGCUGAUGUGACUGAGCCGCUGGGGAAGAGCCGCUCCGCCGCCGCCGCCGCCGCCGCCCUGGGGGAAGAGCGACUGCACCCGCAACGUGCAGUUGAAAUAAACUCCUGUCUGCACCAGGUAUCAGAUGUGGGAUGUGAUACUUAUGCAUGUCUGGAAUACACAACAUGUCAUCUAGAUGACAACUUGUAUGAAAUCUGCACAGACUUCAGAAUGCAGGCAAUUUUGAUGUAUGGGAAGACAAUUCAUCAAAGAUUUCCUGAAGUCAGUGCCAUUGGGAUCAAGUCCAGAUUCAGCAGUAGUGUUACCAGAUGUGCUGCAGUGCAAAGAAUCCUUUUUCAUGUGCAAGGAAAAUGUUAACAGCAACAUAACAUCUGUGCUGCAGCAAACAGCAAUAUUGAUGCUUCAGUGAACAUGAUUGAUCUUAACAAAAUACAUUUGAAUGAGGCAUACUUGGAAUAUGAGGUUCCUGUUUGACUGUGGUAAUGACAUUACUGUUGCCAUAAGAAGUUGUCUUCAGUCUCGACUUGGUUCAUCUUUGAGCAUCUUGAGGGAAUUAGUGCAAGAUUCUUGUACCACAAUGGAGAAAACAACUAUUACUGAAGGUUUUGUUCUACCUGAUGACAAUACCACUCAAGAUGACAAUUGGAAAUGAAGAAAAUAAGGAGCCCAGAUAUGGGACUAAUGUUGUGCUAUACAAUGAGAAGGUAUUAGUACACUUGACUUGUUUGUCAUGAAUAUCUGGUGUUCAUGAAUUUUGAAGUUGUCCUCUCCUGAAAUUGUACUUGGUCCUCAUUUCAAAUGCCAUUAAUCUCCCUGGAUGUUUUCAGUUGCUAUUAGCACAUUCUACCUCAAGUUUUGACUUCAUUAUUUGCAGAUUUAUUGCAAAAACUAGAAAAAUGUUG